CUACGGAGGGUGCAAGCGUUACUCGGAAUCACUGGGCGUAAAGCGCGCGCAGGCGGCUAUUUAAGUUGGAUGUGAAAGCCUACGGCUCAACCGUAGAACUGCAUCCAAAACUAUUUAGCUAGAGUUUGGGAGAGGAAGAUGGAAUUAGUUGUGUAGGGGUAAAAUCCGUAGAGAUAACUAGGAAUACCAAAAGCGAAGGCAAUCUUCUGGAACACUACUGACGCUGAGGCGCGAAAGCGUGGGGUGCAAACAGGAUUAGAAACCCUAGUAGUCC
rnacentral:rRNA from 1 species